UCACACAGAGGUCAACUAGGGUUCAAAUGUUACAGCUCCACUGUGGCCUGCAGCAUAUGACUACAGGUAGCAUACACAGGGGUCACACAGAGGUCAACUAGGGUUCAAAUGUUACAGCUCCACUGUGGCCUGCAGCAUAUGACUACAGGUAGCAUACACAGGGGUCACACAGAGGUCAACUAGGGUUCAAAUGUUACAGCUCCACUGUGGCCUGCAGCAUAUGACUACAGGUAGCAUACACAGGGGUCACACAGAGGUCAACUAGGGUUCAAAUGUUACAGCUCCACUGUGGCCUGCAGCAUAUGACUACAGGUAGCAUACACAGGGGUCACACAGAGGUCAACUAGGGUUCAAAUGUUACAGCUCCACUGUGGCCUGCAGCAUAUGACUACAGGUAGCAUACACAGGGGUCACACAGAGGUCAACUAGGGUUCAAAUGUUACAGCUCCACUGUGGCCUGCAGCAUAUGACUACAGGUAGCAUACACAGGGGUCACACAGAGGUCAACUAGGGUUCAAAUGUUACAGCUCCACUGUGGCCUGCGGCAGGUAGGACACCGCUCACCUGCGGGUUUGGAAAUGCUCCUUUUUUUGUUUAUCAAGAAGAGUUUCAAAAGGCCUUUUCAUUGGUGCCAA